UACAGAGGUCUCAAGCGUUGUUCGGAUUCAUUGGGCGUAAAGGGUGCGUAGGCGGCGCGGUAAGUCGGGUGUGAAAUCUUGGAGCUUAACUCCGAAACUGCAUUCGAUACUGCCGUGCUUGAGGACUGGAGAGGAGACUGGAAUUCCAGGUGUAGCGGUGAAAUGCGUAGAUAUCUGGAGGAACACCGGUGGCGAGGGCGGCAUCCUGGACCAACACUGACGCUGAGGAGCGAAAGCCAGGGGAGCAAACGGG
rnacentral:rRNA from 1 species